AUUGAACGCUGGCGGCAGGCCUAACACAUGCAAGUCGAACGAGUGGCGGACGGGUGAGUAAUGUCUGGGAAACUGCCUGAUGGAGGGGGAUAACUACUGGAAAAGGUAGCUAAUACCGCAUACCAUCGGAUGUGCCCAGAUGGGAUUAGCUCGUAGGUGGGGUAACGGCUCACCUAGGCGACGAUCCCUAGCUGGUCUGAGAGGAUGACCAGCCACACUGGAACUGAGACACGGUCCAGACUCCUACGUGAGGCAGCAGUGGGGAAUAUUGCACAAUGGGCGCAAGCCUGAUGCAGCCAUGCCGCGUGUAUGAAGAAGGCCUUCGGGUUGUAAAGUACUUUCAGCGGGGAGGCGUUACCCGCAGAAGAAGCACCGGCUAACUCCGUGCCAGCCGCCGCGGUAAUAC
rnacentral:rRNA from 1 species